AUUGAACGCUGGCGGCAGGCCUAACACAUGCAAGUCGAGCGAGCGGCGGACGGGUGAGUAAUGUCUGGGAAACUGCCUGAUGGAGGGGGAUAACUACUGGAAACGGUAGCUAAUACCGCAUACCAUCAGAUGUGCCCAGAUGGGAUUCGCUAGUAGGUGGGGUAACGGCUGACCGAGGCGACGAUCCCUAGCUGGUCUGAGAGGAUGACCAGCGACACUGGAACAGAGACACGGUCCAGACGCCUACGGGAGGCAGGAGUGGGGAAUAUUGCACAAUGGGCGCAAGCCUGAUGGAGCCAUGCCGCGUGUGUGAAGAGGGCCUUCGGGUUGUAAGGCACUUUCAGCGGGGAGGCGUUACCCGCAGAAGAAGCACCGGCUAACUCCGUGCCAGCAGCCGCGGUAAUUC
rnacentral:rRNA from 1 species